GGUUCCCAGCUAAAUGGAGGGGAUGGUAGAGAGGGCUGCCGUGUACCCUCUCCCACACCCGCAGAGCCCCCACUCUGCAAUCCAUGAAGCUCAGGUUCGCGCUCAGACGUUCUAUAAUUGUAGCAUUUGGAAUUGUUUAAAAGUUUGAAAAGAAGAAAGAACACGGCAGAUAUCAGCAGAGCGCUUGCAUGGGCACAGAGUACAGCCAACUGCACAGCACAACUGAGACCAGAUCUGACCUAUGUCGGCAUUCAAGGGCUGCCACUGGACACAGGAGGGCAACAGCUCAUCCUUGUAGAUGGGACCGAAGCUCAGGAAGUUGCCAUUGCUGCCAUACUCACAGCUGGAAGGGCCUCUUGACACCAGGAAGCUGGUGAAUGGACACUUGUAGGCGUGAGUUAUGGAUCAGAAAUCCGGAACCAAGAAUCCACUGCUGUUCUAGCUGCUGCCACAACUCACACCUCUACAUUAACACCAGGAAGCUGGAAUGUUAUGCAGAAAAACUGUUUCUAUAAUCUUGCUUGUCAAUAUAAACA